GCUCUGAUACCAACAUCUUGAUUUGAUAGAGGAAGAGAAGAGAUGAAGUAAGGGAAGAGAAUACUUUACUUUUCUCUCAAAGGUACUUCUGCACACUGCAGACACCUCCUUUAUUUAUAAUGCAAAGAAAACAGAUUUACAAGGAAAUAGGAUGAAAUCUUAGUAAAAAUAACUACAGACCUAUUUACCCAUUUAACAAACAAGG
rnacentral:lncRNA from 1 species